AGUGAACGCUGGCGGUAGGCCUAACACAUGCAAGUCGAACGGCAGCACAGUAAGAGCUUGCUCUUACGGGUGGCGAGUGGCGGACGGGUGAGGAAUACAUCGGAAUCUACUUUUUCGUGGGGGAUAACGUAGGGAAACUUACGCUAAUACCGCAUACUACCUACGGGUGAAAGCAGGGGAUCUUCGGACCUUGCGCGAUUGAAUGAGCCGAUGUCGGAGUAGCUAGUUGGCGGGGUAAAGGCCCACCAAGGCGACGAUCCGUAGCUGGUCUGAGAGGAUGAUCAGCCACACUGGAACUGAGACACGGUCCAGACUCCUACGGGAGGCAGCAGUGGGGAAUAUUGGACAAAGGGCGCAAGCCUGAUCCAGCCAUACCGCGUGGGUGAAGAAGGCCUUCGGGUUGUAAAGCCCUUUUGUUGGGAAAGAAAAGCAGCAGGUUAAUACCCCGCUGUUCUGACGGUACCCAAAGAAUAAGCACCGGCUAACUUCGUG
rnacentral:rRNA from 1 species